CCUACGGGUGGCAGCAGUGAAGAAUAUUGGUCAAUGGCCGCAGGGCUGAACCAGCCAAGUCGCGUGAGGAAUGACGGUCCUAUGGAUUGUAAACCUCUUUUGUCAGGGAGCAAAGGGCGCCACGUGUGGCGCUUUGCGAGUACCUGAAGAAAAAGCAUCGGCUAACUCCGUGCCAGCAGCCGCGGUAAUACGGAGGAUGCGAGCGUUAUCCGGAUUUAUUGGGUUUAAAGGGUGCGCAGGCGGAAUGUCAAGUCAGCGGUAAAAUUUCGGGGCUCAACCCUGUCGUGCCGUUGAAACUGGCGUUCUUGAGUGAGCGAGAAGUAUGCGGAAUGCGUGGUGUAGCGGUGAAAUGCAUAGAUAUCACGCAGAACUCCGAUUGCGAAGGCAGCAUACCGGCGCUCAACUGACGCUCAUGCACGAAAGCGUGGGUAUCGAACAGGAUUAGAUACCCUGGUAGUC
rnacentral:rRNA from 1 species